rnacentral:tRNA from 1 species
AGCGAGGUGGGGUAGCCAGGAGAUCCCGUCGGGCUCAUAACCCGAAGACCGAUAGUUCGAAUCUAUCCCUCGCUA